AUUUAAAUAGUUUAUUUUAAAAAUAUUGAUUUGUGGUGUCAAAGAUACAAAUAUUUUGUUUUAAAUA
rnacentral:tRNA from 1 species